CGAGUAGGCGGCCUCGUCAGUCGGGCGUGAAAUCCCGCGGCUCAACCGCGGAACUGCGUCCGAAACUGCUUGGCUUGAGUCCCGGAGAGGGUAGCGGAAUUCCCAGUGUAGCGGUGAAAUGCGUAGAUAUUGGGAGGAACACCAGUGGCGAAGGCGGCUACCUGGACGGGUACUGACGCUGAUGCGCGAAAGCGUGGGGAGCAAACAGGAUUAGAUACCCUGGUAGUCC
rnacentral:rRNA from 1 species